AAUAAGAGUGUAAAAGACAAAACACAGAUAUUCCAUUUUUUCAAAAAAUAAUAAUAUCAGACAGACAGCUAAUUAGCCUUAUAAAUUGUAUCGGUAUAUUUCCACCAACAGAUGAUUGAUUUCUUUUCCAGUGGGAUGAUUUAAGAGAACUCAUAAUUCAUGAGAAGAACAGGGUGAGAAUAAAGAAUGUUUAUGUAGAGUACUGCUGGUUAAUGCUACACCACCGACAACUGGGAAUGAUCUUCACCACAAAACCUCAACACACGGGGGGCCAACUUGGUGAGGACACUUUUUAUGGAUGUAGAUCACACACCUGUGACACAGAUUUGGAUUGCUCGAUUAUGGCAAAAAACAUGAUCAUGAUUAUUUCAGUCA
rnacentral:misc_RNA from 1 species